CGUCUGGUAAUUGGAAUGAGUACAAUUUAAAUCCCUUAACGAGGAUCAAUUGGAGGGCAAGUCUGGUGCCAGCAGCCGCGGUAAUUCCAGCUCCAAUAGCGUAUAUUAAAGUUGCUGCAGUUAAAAAGCUCGUAGUUGAAUUUCUGGUACGAUGUGCCUGGUCCACGGUCGCAAGGCCGCGCGUAUCGGAGUACGUCUGCCAUCCUUCUAGUUAACUGGCUAUACUUAACUGUGUGGUCAGCAACCUAGAUCUUUUACUUUGAAAAAAUUAGAGUGUUUAAAGCAGGCUCGCGCUGUGAAUACAUUAGCAUGGAAUAAUAAUUUAGGACUUUGCUUCUAUUUUAUUGGUUUCUAGGGGUAAAGUAAUGAUUGAUAGGGAUAGUUGGGGGUGCUAGUAUUCAUCGGCCAGAGGUGAAAUUCUUGGAUUCGAUGAAGACUAACUUAUGCGAAAGCAUUCACCAAGGAUGUCUUCUUUAAUCAAGAACGAAAGUUGGGGGAUCGAAGACGAUCAGAUACCGUCGUAGUCUCAACCAUAAACUAUACCGACUAGGGAUUAGUGGAAGUUGCUAUAUCGACUCCAUUAGCACCUUAUGAGAAAUCAGAAGUCUUUGGGUUCUGGGGGGAGUAUGGUCGCAAGGCUGAAACUUAAGGGAAUUGACGGAAGGGCACCACCAGGAGUGGAGCCUGCGGCUUAAUUUGACCCAACACGGGGAAACUUACCAGGUCCGGACAUAGUGAGGAUUGACAGAUUGAAGUUCUUUCUUGAUUCUAUGGGUGGUGGUGCGUGGCCGUUCUUAGUUGGUGGAGUGAUUUGUCUGGUUAAUUCCGUUAACGAACGAGACCUCGACCUGCUAAAUAGUAUGACGUAGGCUCUGUCUAUGGACAUGACUUCUUAGAGGGACUGUCGGUUUUUAGCCGAAGGAAGUUCGAGGCAAUAACAGGUCUGUGAUGCCCUUAGAUGUUCUGGGCCGCACGCGCGCUACACUGAUACGUGCAUCGAGCUUACAACCUUGGCUGGGAGGCCUGGGUAAUCUUUGAAAAGCGUAUCGUGCUGGGGAUAGAUUAUUGUAAUUAUUAAUCUUCAACGAGGAAUUCCUAGUAAGCGCGAGUCAUCAACUCGCACUGAUUACGUCCCUGCCCUUUGUACACACCGCCCGUCGCUGCUACCGAUUGAAUGCAUUAGUGAGCUUGAGGGAUCGUUUAGCUUGAGGGUCAAACUUCGAGUUAAGUGAGAACUCACGCAAACUUGCGCAUUUAGAGGAAGCAAAAGUCGUAACAAGGUU
rnacentral:rRNA from 1 species